GCCUACGGGACGCAGCAGUGGGGGAUAUUGCACAAUGGGGGGGACCCUGAUGCAGCGACGCCGCGUGGGUGAAGGAGUGCUUCGGCAUGUAAAGCCCUAUCGGCAGGGAAGAAGCAAGACGGUACCUGACUAAGAAGCCCCGGCUAACUACGUGCCAGCAGCCGCGGUAAUACGUAGGGGGCAAGCGUUAUCCGGAUUUACUGGGUGUAAAGGGAGCGUAGACGGCUAUGCAAGUCUGGAGUGAACGGCGGGGGCCCAACCCCCGGACUGCUCUGGCAACUGUAGAGCUAGAGU
rnacentral:rRNA from 1 species